rnacentral:lncRNA from 1 species
CAGCCUUCCCCUGGGCUCAGAUGUGCCCAAGUUGAGAUUUUGAACUGUAAAUAUAACCGCCUUUACAGUGGUUAGGUAAAAACUGAGCUUAAAUGCGUGAGACAGCUGCUGCAGAUCAGAUGUGAUUGCUGGGGAGGAGGUGUAGAGAGUUAUCUCAAGGUCUGGAAACUCCAUCUGUGUGCAGUCUAUCAUCAGCCCUGGUCUUUAGGAGCUUGGUGUUAGUAAAACAGUGAGUCCAUGCCCAGGCAGGAUGACACACCAAACACCACUCUGCAGCUGUAGUCCCUUAUGUGGGAAACAUUUCUAGCAAUAUACUUAAUCUUUGUUCUUUUCAAUAUGUGACACAGCUGGAGCUGGACUCUUCUGAUAAUAUUUAUGUAGUUUAGGUAGUUAUGUAGAAAAACAAGGGUAAAUUGACCUGGUGCUCUGCUGCCCAGCAAUAAGCAGAAGAGUGACUCAUAUUCUGGAGCUGUAGGUUUGAAUGUGCCAGACCUCCACAUUUUAAGUUCAUUAUAUAUGAAAUGUGUUACAGACGUCGGUUUAAAUCACAGAAAGAUUUUGCCCACCAUCUUUUAGUAUCGAUUCAGUUGAAGCAGCCCAUGGGCUUGUGAAGGCAUAAGCUUCUGCCAAUGAUUUUAGCAGCAGCAGUAUGUUUGGCUUGCUCUGCACUCCAGAAGUCCCAUGUAAGAAGCCAGCUGCAUUGUGUUAACCUGCUUCCAUCCUUUCAGCAACAGCUCUGCUUGAAAUUACAGUGGUUAAUUUCUUUGCAACCAGCUCUCCCAGUUCCCAUUGUGUCAGCAGGAUGGAAAUUGCUGCUAAACCAGCAGCCACAGGUUUGUAAAAACAGUCCAUACUCAAAUGAUUUUGAGGAUCUCCCCAGGAAUAUCCAUACAUAGCAGGGUUUCCUCAGGCUCUCCAGACUAUGAAACAUGCAGUGCUGAAUUAUUCACUCUGGGCCAAGAAGAAAAAUAAGACAGCAUCUCUUACUACACUGUGAAAUAUUAUUACGGGACAGCAGUGGUAUGUUGAACUCCUUAAAAUCCUCUUAGUAUAAACUAACUGAAAGUAGCAAAACAUAACAGUCUUAGCUUUUGGACAUAUACAGUUUAAUUUCAUAGUCUUUUGGGGUUUGUUUUUAAAACUGCA